UAGGGAAUCUUCCACAAUGGACGCAAGUCUGAUGGAGCAACGCCGCGUGAGUGAAGAAGGUUUUCGGAUCGUAAAGCUCUGUUGUUGGUGAAGAAGGAUAGAGGCAGUAACUGGUCUUUAUUUGACGGUAAUCAACCAGAAAGUCACGGCUAACUACGUGCCAGCAGCCGCGGUAAUACGUAGGUGGCAAGCGUUGUCCGGAUUUAUUGGGCGUAAAGCGAGCGCAGGCGGAAUGAUAAGUCUGAUGUGAAAGCCCACGGGUCAACCGUGGAACUGCAUCGGAAACUGUCAUUCUUGAGUGCAGAAGAGGAGAGUGGAAUUCCAUGUGUAGCGGUGGAAUGCGUAGAUAUAUGGAAGAGCACCAGUGGCGAGGGCGGCUCUGUGGUCUGCAAGUGACGCUGAGGCUCGAAAGGAUGGGUGGUGAGCAGG
rnacentral:rRNA from 1 species